ACCGCGCUUGAAAUGUUCCAACUGUCAAUCUCUUGCCAUCAUCAUGAACGGAAAAGUGUUAUUUUUCCUUUUUGCGAUCAUAGCGACUGCGUUUUCGUUUGAAACGUACUAUGUAAACAGAUUGAGACGAAGUUUAUAUGGGCAGAUUUUGAAAGGAAAAGAACCCAGGAACACUGGCUACAGAGGGAGGAACCUUGUCAACUUUCCAGCUUAUGACGAGAUAGAUUAUUAUUUGUGAUAAAAAAAAAAUUAAUAUGAUCUUGGAUCUUCCUCGAAAGUGUAGUUCAAAAGAGUAGAAAAAAAAUCACAAUAAAGAUAUUUAAUUAGCAUUUCAAAA